rnacentral:SRP_RNA from 1 species
GCUCAUAUGGUAUCUGUAGUCCCAGCCACUUGGGAGGCUAAGGCAGGAGGAUCACUUAAGCCCAGGAGUUCUGGGCUGUAGUACAUGAUGCCUAUGGGAUGUCCACACUAAGUUCAGCAUCAAUAUAGUGACUGGCAGUGGAGGACCCUAGGUUGCCUAAGGAGAGAUCAGCCUAGGUCAGAAACAGCAGGUCAAAACUCCCAUGUUUAUCAGUAGCUGAUCAGUAGUGGAAUCCAGCCUGUGAGUACCCUCUGAACUCCAGCCUGAGCAAGAGAGUGAGACGCUCUCUUAA